rnacentral:ncRNA from 1 species
GGUCAAGUUUUUAAGUGCAUACGGUGGAUGCCUUGGCACUAGGAGCCGAAGAAGGACGUUGUAGCCUGCGAUAAGCCUCGGGGAGUUGGCAAACGAACCGUGAUCCGAGGAUGUCCGAAUGGGGAAACCCGGCUGGAGUCAUGUCCAGUCACCCACGCCUGAAUAUAUAGGGCGUGUGGAGGGAACGUGGGGAAGUGAAACAUCUCAGUACCCACAGGAAGAGAUAUUCCGUGAGUAGUGGCGAGCGAAAGCGGAGAAGGCCAAACCGAUGGCGUGUGAUAGCCGGCAGGCGUUGCGUCGUCGGGGUUGUGGGACCUUUCAGGAAGCUCUGCCGAGCUUCCAGGGAGUCAGAAAGUCGCGUCAUAGUCGAAGGGCAUUGAAAGGCCCGGCACAGAGGGUGCUACCCCCGUAGACGAAAUGGCGCGGCCUCCCGAGAGGGAUCCCAAGUAGCACGGGGCCCGAGAAAUCCCGUGUGAAUCUGGAGAGACCACUCUCUAAGCCUAAAUACUCCCUAGUGACCGAUAGCGGACAAGUACCGUGAGGGAAAGGUGAAAAGUACCCCGGGAGGGGAGUGAAAUAGUACCUGAAACCGUGUGCAUACAAUCCGUCGGAGCCUCCCUAGCAGGGGUGACGGCGUGCCUUUUGAAGAAUGAGCCUGCGAGUUAGUGGUACGUGGCGAGGUUAACCCGUGUGGGGAAGCCGUAGCGAAAGCGAGUCCGAAUAGGGCGUCUGAGUCGCGUGCUCUAGACCCGAAGCGAAGUGAUCUAGCCAUGGGCAGGUUGAAGCGCGGGUAAGACCGCGUGGAGGACCGAACCCACCUGGGUUGAAAACCGGGGGGAUGACCUGUGGUUAGGGGUGAAAGGCCAAUCAAACUUCGUGAUAGCUGGUUCUCCCCGAAAUGCAUUUAGGUGCAGCGUCACGUGUUUCUUACCGGAGGUAGAGCUACUGGAUGGCCGAUGGGCCCCACAAGGUUACUGACGUCAGCCAAACUCCGAAUGCCGGUAAGUGAGAGCGUGGCAGUGAGACUGCGGGGGAUAAGCUCCGUAGUCGAGAGGGAAACAGCCCAGACCACCAGCUAAGGCCCCUAAGCGUGUGCUAAGUGGGAAAGGAUGUGGAGUUGCACAGACAACCAGGAGGUUGGCUUAGAAGCAGCCACCCUUGAAAGAGUGCGUAAUAGCUCACUGGUCAAGUGAUUCCGCGCCGACAAUGUAGCGGGGCUCAAGUACACCGCCGAAGCUGUGGCAUUCACACAACAGCCAGGUCUUCGGAUCCAGGCGUGUGGAUGGGUAGGGGAGCGUCGUGUGGCGAGUGAAGUCGCGGGGUGACCCAGCGGUGGACGCCACACGAGUGAGAAUGCAGGCAUGAGUAGCGAAAGACGGGUGAGAAACCCGUCCGCCGAAUGACCAAGGGUUCCAGGGCCAGGCUAAUCCGCCCUGGGUAAGUCGGGACCUAAGGCGAGGCCGACAGGCGUAGUCGAUGGACAACGGGUUGAUAUUCCCGUACCGGCGAAGAACCGCCCAUACCGAGCCCGGUGAUGCUCAGUGCCCAAAGCCGGCUAGAUCCCUUCGGGGACGUGCCGGUGGCGCGCACGAACCAAUCCGGUAGUAGGUAAGCGUAUUAACAGGGGUGACGCAGGAAGGUAGCCCAGCGUGGCGAUGGUAGACCACGUCCAAGGUUGUAGGGCGAGAUGUAGGCAAAUCCGCAUCUCACAUAGCCUGAGAACUGAUGGUGACCGCUUAUGCGGGACGAUUGGGUGAUCCUAUGCUGCCAAGAAAAGCCUCGACGCGAGGUUCUAGCCGCCCGUACCCUAAACCGACUCAGGUGGUCAGGUAGAGAAUACCAA